rnacentral:rRNA from 1 species
CAUCUAACUUCUCACAUCUCACUUCUCAAGAGUGGCGGACGGGUGAGUAACGCGUGGGCAACCUGCCCCAAAGCUCGGGAUAACACUCCGAAAGGAGUGCUAAUACCGGAUGUAGUUGCGCUGCUGCAUGGCAGUGCAAAAAAAGGAGCAAUCCACUUUGGGAUGGGCCCGCGUCUGAUUAGCUAGUUGGUGGGGUAACGGCCUACCAAGGCGACGAUCAGUAGCCGACCUGAGAGGGUGAUCGGCCACACUGGGACUGAGACACGGCCCAGACUCCUACGGGAGGCAGCAGUCGGGAAUAUUGGUCAAUGGGGGAAACCCUGAACCAGCAAUGCCGCGUGAGUGAUGAAGGUUUUCGGAUCGUAAAGCUCUGUCUUUGGGGACGAAUCAAUGACGGUACCCGAGGAGGAAGCCCCGGCUAACUACGUGCCAGCAGCCGCGGUAAUACGUAGGGGGCGAGCGUUGUCCGGAAUUACUGGGCGUAAAGGGCGAGUAGGCGGUUUAAUAAGUCAGAUGUGAAAUACUGAGGCUUAACCUCAGGGCUGCAUUUGAAACUAUUAGACUUGAGUGCAGGAGAGGAAAGUGGAAUUCCCAGUGUAGCGGUGAAAUGCGUAGAUAUUGGGAGGAACACCAGUGGCGAAGGCGACUUUCUGGACUGUAACUGAC